GAGAAGGGGUUGAUUGGGGAACAGGUCAGCUCUGGGCUCAUAGCACCCAGCCAAGAAUCUGGAGCAGAUCCAUCCCCGUUUGCACUGGGCUUGGAGUGCCUGGAGCCAACUGGGCUUUGCAAUGGUGCAUUCCCUGCUACGUGUAAGGCCCCCUUCUGGGUCUUGAGGGGUUGUCUAUGCCCGGUCCCUGCCCUGAGACAUCACGGGAUUUUAGAGCCCCAGGGAGCCUUUGAAAUGAUGUGGGCCAACUGCCAGAUUUGGGAAGGAGCCAGACCCAGAGAGGGGAAUCACACACUCUUCUGAUCUCAGGCUCUGGGCUCAUUCCUCCACACUCCCCACUGGAAUUGUCUGCUUCCCGGAGACCUGUUUACCAUCUUAUUUCAGGCAGGUGGAGCGCUCCUUGUUAGGGCUGAUGGCCAGACAGCCCACCUUGCUCCACGGCUACUCACCGGGGGAAACCACUGUUUCAGGCUCCCAUGCCCCAAGUUGGGCGCCACCUGAGUCCGCGACUGUGUUUAUUUUCCGGUCAAGUAUGAGAGUGAGAAAGACACAUGGGCCAGAGGACCAGUGACCUUGUGGGUGAUGUCUUCACUUGCCAUGAAUCAGACUGAAGCAAGGCAGAGCUGUGGGAAGUUGCCAGCCACUCUCUCUUCCAGAGUCACUGAAGUGCAGUGGCAGAACGAGAGUCAGAACAACUGGCGGUGAUCUGGGAUGCGGUUUUCAGAGCACUUUCCCCACACAACUGGGUGAGAAAGACUGGGCAAUGAAGGUCAUCACCAUUCUAAAGUUGGAGAUGAAGACUCGAUAAGGAAGUGACUUGCCCAGGGUCACACAUCUCAGCAGUCCAGGUAGUGCUUUUCCCAAGGAGGCUUCUAAUGACUGGCCCACACACCUGUCUAGCCUCCCACACCCCACUGCCUCAGCAUCCCAGAGCUGGAAGGGACCCCAGAAGCCAGCUGCUCUGACCCCUCCCUGGUCAGUGGUGAUCAGGCUGCUGCCCGAAGACCUCCAAGGAGGGGGAGCUCCUUCCUAGGUGGCAGGCUUAGUCUGCUUUGGAGGAGCCCUGAAG